rnacentral:rRNA from 1 species
UGGGGAAUUUUCCGCAAUGGGCGAAAGCCUGACGGAGCAAUACCGCGUGAGGGAGGAAGGCUCUUGGGUUGUAAACCUCUUUUCUCAGGGAAGAACAAAAUGACGGUACCUGAGGAAUAAGCAUCGGCUAACUCCGUGCCAGCAGCCGCGGUAAUACGGAGGAUGCAAGCGUUAUCCGGAAUGAUUGGGCGUAAAGAGUCCGUAGGUGGCAUUGAAAGUCUGCUGUUAAAGAGUCUAGCUCAACUAGAUAAGAGCAGUGGAAACUACAAAGCUAGAGUUUGGUCGGGGCAGAAGGAAUUCCUGGUGUAGCGGUGAAAUGCGUAGAGAUCAGGAAGAACACCGGUGGCGAAGGCGUUCUGCUAGGCCGAGACUGACACUGAGGGACGAAAGCUAGGGGAGCGAAUGGG